rnacentral:rRNA from 1 species
AGGACGAACGCUGGCGGCGCGCUUAACACAUGCAAGUCGAGCGAGAACCAGGGCUUCGGCUCUGGGGACAGCGGCGAACGGGUGAGUAACACGUGAGUAAUCUGCCCUCGACACUGGGAUAGCCCGGGGAAACCCGGAUUAAUACCGGAUAGCCUUUCGAGCUCUCGGACUCGUUAGAAAAGGAUAGCUUCGGCUUUCGGUUGAGGAUGAGCUUGGCGGCGGAUUAGCGUUGUUGGUGAGGUAACGGCUCACCAAGGCGACAAUCCGUAGCUGGUCUGAGAGGACGAUCAGCCACACGUGGACUG